AGGGGUGCGGCUGGAUGGAGGCAUGAGAGGCCUGGAGAGCAUGGUCUAAUAAACAGAGAAGGCUCAGGAGGGUCAGAAACACGGUGCCUCAUUUCUCAGCCUACUUGCCAAGAAUUCCCAAAAAGGAAGCACUGGAGGAUCAUUCCAAGGCUUGAGAAUUGCUGUCAAAUUAAGCUCCACUUCAGAAGACAAGCAACAGUGGGAGAAACUCUGAGUCAACGGCUUUAACUUUGGCAGCGUUCUUCACUGAUUCGUGAAGUAGGCUAGCAACCUCGUUUCCCCUUUUAACCCACGUCCCAUGCCACGUGUGUCUGGAACAAAAGAAAUUUUAAUAUGGACAGCAUGAACGAAUGGAGGUGGGGUGUUCCUUCCUGACUCCACUCCUAGGAGUUAAGCUGCAAACACUGUCACCUUCGUGCAUUUGAUUCCGAGGCUUAUAAAGAUUCUAGACUAUGAGAUGAAAUGGGGCCAGUUCAGCUGCCUGAAUGGGCUCUUCCAUAGAUGGCAGAGGGGCAAGCUCUUGCAGACUGGAAAAGCUUCCUAAGAAUUGCUUAUGCUAUACUAGCGCCACCCCCAACAAGUCCAUUCAGCAGGCAUCCCAUCCCCCAAACCUGGAUGUGGAGGGCUGAGUAAUGGCACCCAAAGAUAUUUGCAUGUGAACCCUUGGAACCUGCAAACGUUACCUUGUAUAGCAAAAUGAAUUUUGAAGAUAUGAUUACAUCAAGAACUCUGAAAGGGGAGCAUUAUCCUGGAUUAUCUGGGUGGGCCCUAAAAGUAACCACAAGUAUACUUAUAAUAGGGAGGCACAGAGCCAUUUGACUACAGAAGAGGAGAAGUCAAUUGGAUGAUGGUAGCAGACAUUACAGUGAUGCGGCCACAAGCCAAGCAAUGCUGGCAGCCACUGGAAGCUUGAAGAGGCAGGAAUGGAUGUUCCCCUGGAGCCUCCAGAAGGAUUCAGCCCUAUCGACAUGUUGAUUUUAGCCUCAUAAGAUUCCUUACAGACUUCCAGCUCCAAGAACUGCUGGAGAAUAAAGUUCUGUUGUUUGAAG
rnacentral:lncRNA from 1 species